ACGUCAUCCCCACCUUCCUUGGGGUCGGCAUUAUGAGGGGAGAGCAGACCGUGGCCAGGGAAUGUUAUGUCGCUUCACUUAAAGAGGUCAAGCUAAAGGAGGCUAUGAUCAUUGAAGGACUUGAUGUUAGAGACGAAGACGAGAUGGUCAGAGGAGAACUAGUGGAAGAGCUUGUCGAGGUCCUCAUCGAUCCCACCAACCGGACAAAAACAACCAAGAUCAAUAGCCAACUAUCCCCUCAAGUCAAGACCGAUCUUACAACCCUCCUAACUGAACACAGUGAUGUGUUUUCCUGGACCCAUUCUGACAUGCCGGGUAUCUAAUCCGGUU
rnacentral:misc_RNA from 1 species